GCUUGUCUCAAAGAUUAAGCCAUGCAUGUCUUAGUGUAAAUAACUCUUAUGAAACUGCGAAUGGCUCAUUAAAUCAGUUAUCGUUUAUUUGAUGGUCCCUUACUACAUGGAUAACCGUAGUAAUUCUAGAGCUAAUACAUGCGUCAAGCCCCGACUCACGAAGGGGUGUAUUUAUUAGAUUGAAACCAAUGCGGGGUAACCCGGUGUUUGGUGAUUCAUAAUAACUUUCGGAUCGCAUUUGCGAUGCAUCAUUCAAGUUUCUGCCCUAUCAGCUUUGGAUGGUAGGGUAUUGGCCUACCAUGGCUUUAACGGGUAACGGAGAAUUAGGGUUCGAUUCCGGAGAGGGAGCCUGAGAAACGGCUACCACAUCUAAGGAAGGCAGCAGG
rnacentral:rRNA from 1 species